rnacentral:rRNA from 1 species
AGGGCACCACCAGGAGUGGAGCCUGCGGCUUAAUUUGACUCAACACGGGAAAACUCACCCGGCCCGGACACUGGAAGGAUUGACAGAUUGAGAGCUCUUUCUUGAUUCAGUGGGUGGCGGUGCAUGGCCGUUCUUAGUUGGUGGAGUGAUUUGUCUGGUUAAUUCCGAUAACGAACGAGACUCUAGCCUACUAAAUAGAUAGUCGGCUUACAAACGUCGACUAGACUUCUUAGAGGGACAGGCGGUGAUUCAACCGCACGAAACAGAGCAAUAACAGGUCUGUGAUGCCCUUAGAUGUCCGGGGCCGCACGCGCGCUACACUGAAGUGAUCAGCGUGCUUUUUCAGCCUACUCUGUCAAGAGUGGGAAACCCAAUGAACCUUCUUCGUGAUUGGGAUAGGGGAUUGUAAUUAUUCCCCUUGAACGAGGAAUUCCCAGUAAGCGCGAGUCAUAAGCUCGCGUUGAUUACGUCCCUGCCCUUUGUACACACCGCCCGUCGCUACUACCGAUUGAAUGUUUU